AAUGUAGCAUAACUGCAAAGACGCGACGAUGAUGGUGGAACAUAUCUUCAAAGAGUUCUAAAUACUUAAGAAAAUCAACUAUACUACUUCAGUAAGGGCCACCAGCUUGGCCCAAAGUGGGUACCGAACUGACCAGAUUUUGUUGAGAACCCUAUCUGGCUAAAGAACAGCUUGGUUUUGUAAAAGAAAUAUUAGCAGUCGUGGGAUAUUGCACGUACACCAUCAUAAAUUGUUCAUGUAAUGGAAGAAGUAUAAAUGGAAACAUAUCUCAUCAAGUAGUCUAAAAGUCACACUCCGUCUGUCUAAAAAAAUGUUUGAUGUUAUCUAUCUAAUACAAAAAGAAGACAGCUUAUAACUGCAGCAUGGCUUUUAUGAAAUGUAACAGUGACUCCCGGAUCUGUUGACUAGUGUUACAGGGAUUGUGCAAUAUAAUUGUAAAUAUCAUCUUCAAAACAUUAAAGUCAAAUGACAUGAAAAUGACUAAUCCAUGUUAAUCAAUUUUUCGUUUUAUUCCUCGAUAUUUCUAAGAAAUCAGGUAUGUGGUGUUAUUUCCAAGAGCAAGUACACCCUUGUCCCACCACCUUGCAGUUUGACUCUAUUUAAAAGCGUUCAUAAGACAUUGAUAGCAAGAUUCGAAGAAUAAUAUAAAAAAAACUCUCUUAUCAAAAGUAAUUUCCGAACAAUUUUGCUUGUGAUAAAUCUGCCAUGACCUAGAAAAACAAAAAUAAUUUCUUGAAAUACUGACACUAGUUUAAUAAACAUGUUUAGUUAUGAAACCAACGUCUUAAUAAAACUGGAAUAUAUAUAUAUACUAGAACGCAUUAAAAACAUCGUCUGCACCAAUUUACAUAACAAUUUUAGUGUAGUCUUUAUCUGGUCAUUAUCAAACUUGGCAAGUUGAUAAGCAUGAAACUGUUAAAGCUGUCAUUGAGAAAGAAAAACAGCAGAAUCAUAUAUAUUACACCGUCUGGUAAUAUGGCAGUGGGACGUUUAUAUUGUGUCUUUACAUGAUAUAUCACAAGAUAUAUAUCAACUGUAUAAAAACAGUUUAAUAUUGUAAGAUUGUUUUAUAAAACACCAAGA